GAGAGAGAGUUCUGGAGCAGAGAUCCGUUUCCUGGCUUGCAGACCAGGUGAAGGAGGGCUCCUAGAAAAGGAAGGGUCCUGUGAGGACCUCAGCAAGGCCCCCCAAAGGGACACCUCCUCUCCAGGAUCACCUCUCAAAUAAACCCCUUGCCUUUGGAUCCUCCUCUGGGAGUCUUUUUCUUAUGGAAACCAAAAUAGGGAUAAACCUCCCUAAGAGUGAAGCCAACACGAAAGGUGAAAAGCUGAGGGUUAGGAGUUUCUCAAUAAUAUCAUUGGUGCGUCUGGAUCCAGACAAGCCUGAAACCAUCAACUCCUAGACUUUUCUUUUGGUAAGUUACUUAAAGAUUCUAUUACAACAUACUCAUUUAUAUAAUCAAGGCAUUUGGAGGUUCAUUUUCUCAUUAGAAAAUCCUUACUCAGGAGUUCCCGUUGUGGCUCAGUGGUUAAAGAAUCCGACUGGGA